rnacentral:rRNA from 1 species
GAGUCCUACGGGACGCAGCAGUCGGGAAUAUUGCGCAAUGGAGGAAACUCUGACGCAGUGACGCCGCGUAUAGGAAGAAGGUUUUCGGAUUGUAAACUAUUGUCGUGAGGGAAGAAAUUGACAGUACCUCAGGAGGAAGCUCCGGCUAACUACGUGCCAGCAGCCGCGGUAAUACGUAGGGGGCAAGCGUUAUCCGGAAUUACUGGGUGUAAAGGGAGCGUAGGCGGGAGAGCAAGUCGACUGUGAAAUCUAUGGGCUUAACCCAUAGCUGCGAUCGAAACUGUUCAUCUUGAGUGAAGUAGAGG